GCAGGACAAUAACCUAAAACACACGAGUUGCUUACCAAGAUGACAUUGAAUGUUCCUGAGUGGCCUAGUUACAGUAAAAUACUUAUCGAAUCAAGAUACUGUAUGUUAGUGUUUCAUUUUUCAUAAAUGUUUUACAAAUGUAUUUUGUGUAGAUCGUUGACCAAAAAAUUACAAUUACAUCCAUUUUAAUCCCACUUUGUAACACAAUGAAAUGUGGAAUAAGUGAAGGGGUGUGAAUACUUUCUGAAGGACCUGGACCUGGAUAUCUUCUUGUUUAUGUAGUCAGUUGGAUAUAAAGUUCACCUUCAUUGAAUCUCUAAACUAACAUUUUCUAAAUGUCAUAUUUGUUAGUCUUCCUCUUCUAUUCGUGUUCUGCUGCCUUAGUUUUUAUACCAGUUGGCCUUAACCCAGGGUAGGUUUUCAGUUGGCCUUAACCCAGGGUAGGUUUCCAGUUGGCCUUAACCCAGGGUAGGUUUUCAGUUGGCCUUAACCCAGGGUAGGUUUUCAGUUGGCCUUAACCCAGGGUAGGUUUCCAGUUGACGUUAACCCAGGGUAGGUUUCCAGUUGGCCUUAACCCAGGGUAGGUUUCCAGUUGACGUUAACCCAGGGUAGGUUUUCAGUUGGCCUUAACCCAGGGUAGGUUUUCAGUUGGCCUUAACCCAGGGUAGGUUUCCAGUUGGCCUUAACCCAGGGUAGGUUUUCAUUUGGCCUUAACCCAGGGUAGGUUUUCAGUUGGCCUUAACCCAGGGUAGGUUUUCAGUUGACGUUAACCCAGGGUAGGUUUCCAGUUGACCUUAACCCAGGGUAGGUUUUCAGUUGGCCUUAACCCAGGGUAGGUUUCCAGUUGACGUUAACCCAAGGUAGGUUUUCAGUUGGCCUUAACCCAGGGUAGGUUUUCAGUUGGCCUUAACCCUCACAGCUGGACCUUUUGAGUACCUGUUAGACUCCUGCCUCCUUGAGUUGGAGGCUCCAUCCUCCUGCUAGUGUUUGAUCAUGUCUCUGUACUCUUGUCUGGGUACUGGCUCCUAAUGCCGGUACAGUUCAUCUAGAUGUUGAUCACUCUUUGUUCAACAUUGUUUUUAGCUGACUGCUGUUUUACUUGACCCAAAUGGUGCCUGUACCACAGCCCCUGUCACAUGCUAAAUAAAGUACUGGUAGAAUAAAUAA